GACGUAGGGCGCAAGCGUUGUCCGGAUUUAUUGGGCGUAAAGAGCUCGUAGGCGGCUCGUUGCGUCGGCUGUGAAAACCCGAGGCUCAACCUCGGGCCUGCAGUCGAUACGGGCAAACUAGAGUACUGCAGGGGAGACUGGAAUUCCUGGUGUAGCGGUGAAAUGCGCAGAUAUCAGGAGGAACACCGGUGGCGAAGGCGGGUCUCUGGGCAGUAACUGACGCUGAGGAGCGAAAGCGUGGGGAGCAAACAGG
rnacentral:rRNA from 1 species